rnacentral:lncRNA from 1 species
UCGCUUUAUGGCAUAAUAGGCAUAAGCUUUCCCGAAUCUCUUUUAAGCUUCUUUGCAAGCCAAAACCCUCCACGUCCCUUCCUUUCUUCUCUCUAUAAAAGGUCUCACAUUCUAACACCCCAUAACAAAAAAACAAUUUCAAAUUAAUCAUCUCUCUCUCUCUCUCCAAUUUUGUGUCACCAUGUCAAGGCUGGUGGAACCAUUGACUUUGGGGAGAGUGGUGGGAGAGGUGGUGGACACUUUCACUCCUAGUGUU